UCCCUGGUAGUAUAUCGGUUAGUACACGCGCCUGUCAUCAAUUGUGCGUGAAGAUAAAUCGUGUCGCGCGAAAGCUGGGUUCGACUCCCAGCCAGGGAG